rnacentral:rRNA from 1 species
UGCGUAGGCGGGGCAAUUAGUCAGUGGUGAAAUCCUGCGGCUUAACCGUAGAACUGCCAUUGAUACUGUUGCCCUUGAGUAUAGUUGAGGUGGGCGGAAUGUGUAAUGUAGCGGUGAAAUGCAUAGAGAUUACACAGAACACCAAUUGCGAAGGCAGCUCACUAAGCUAUAACUGACGCUGAGGCACGAAAGCGUGGGGAGCGAACAGGAUUAGAUUCCCUGGUAGUCC